CUUCAGCGAGCCGAGGCGGAGCGGCUCCUCGCGGUCCUGGCCGUAGGUGGCCAGGAGCGCCUGCGCCUC
rfam:Streptomyces pluripotens strain MTSC 137 chromosome, complete genome.